UUUUGUUGUUAUAGUUCUAAUGUAAACUUUUUUUCCCCUUUUGAUGUAUUGUUUACCAUCACUACUUUUUUUUUUCAAUUUAUCAGUGAGUUUAACAUUACAAAUCAAAUAAAAGACAACAUACAUAGAGGUAGUUAGAGUCUAUAGACAUACUUUUAAAAAUUAUCAACAUUGACGCGGACCUUGAUCUAGAAUCUACAUACUUUGUUUGCUAAGUUAGGCGAUACUCCAGAUAUUUUUUAAAAGACGCCUCCAACUUUCCACACAAUGUCAGAACACAAGGGAUCUACAAGACUAUGUUAGAGCUACAGCCAUGAGAUCACUGGAACAUGAACGAUAUUACCACUACUGAUGGACUACUGAUUGUUGCGGCACUUAUGCUUGGUAUGCUAGGCGCCUGCUGCCUUCUCUCCUGCUGCCUGUGCAGUGAUAAGCCAGAAGAAAGGGUUGAUUCUACGCAUGCUAAAACCGUCUUCUCAAAGAUAAGCUCCUGGCGUAUGGUGGACUCCACCAGAACUGAAACCACGCUGCCGACGUCCACCUCAGCGGCGGACACCAAGACAUCCCUCAGCGAGGACACGAAGCCGACCUCUGUCGAUUCGGACACUGAAUAUGACUAAAGAUAGGAGAAGAUUACGGCGACAGCACAUCAACUUUAGUUAACUGGACAGAGCAAAAGAAAAGGUUUUAGGACUUCGUACAGAUCUGUGCCACUUCCUGAAGCUUGUGUCACCAGAGCCCCUACUACCAGAGCCCCUACUACUAGAGCCCCUACUACCAGAGCCCCUACUACUAGAGCCCCUACUACCAGAGCCCCUACUACCAGAGUCCCUACUACCAGAGCCCCUACUACCAGAGCCCCUACUACCAGAGCCCCUACUACCAGAGCCCCUACUACCAGAGCCCCUACUACCAGAGCCCCUACUACUAGAGCCCCUACUACCAGAGCCCCUACUACUAGAGCCCCUACUACCAGAGCCCCUACUACCAGAGCCCCUACUACCAGAGCCCCUACUACCAGAGCCCCUACUACCAGAGCCCCUACUACCAGAGUCCCUACUACUAGAGCCCCUACUACCAGAGCCCCUACUACUAUUUAAAAUGUUAAAAUACGUAAAGAAUUCAAGUGGUCAAAUUCUGAUAAAGUUAUGGACCUAAUUACCAUGUUAAACAAAAUGCUGCUAGAAUGGGCGUCUCAAGAAUAUUGAUCUAUGAUUCUGCCUGACAUUUUAUAUUAAAUACUAUACCAAAUCCUC